AAAAAAUUACCGCCGGGUAGCGCUUUCUCAACUUCGUUAGGCCUUAGAAGAAGUGAGAAUAGCGUUAUUUUUUU
rnacentral:ncRNA from 1 species